AUUUUAAUGCGGAUGAAUAAUUAGCCGGCAUGGAGGAAACGGACCUUUAUUUGGUGGAGUGGCGACAAGGAGCCAAAAGGCGGGUGGCCGGUCUAUGAAGCCUCCAUCAUCAAGCUAGCAGAAAUCCCACCUCUCCUUCUGGCUACAGAGCACUUACUUACCAAGCCCAUGAAAUCGCAUGCAGAUCUUCCUGAUGUGAAAUUUACACAAAUCUAAGUAAUUUUGUUUGUCAUUAUCAUUAAUGUUGUUGCUGUUG